AUGUACCUCCGAUGUGCCGUGUCUGAAAAUCCUAAGCAAUGGUCACAAUGGCUACCUCUGACAGAAUUUUGGUACAACACCACAUACCAUUCCUCCUUGGGGUGCACUCCUUUCAAAGCAGUAUAUGGCCAUGAACCUAACCUGGGGCAACUUCCUCAACCUUUGCAAGCAACACAUCCUGACUUGCAGACGUGGCUCCAGGAGAGAAAUCAAUACUCUGACUUUCUCCAUCAACAUUUGAACAGAGCUCAGACCAAAAUGAAGGCGGAUGCUGAUAAGAAACGCUCCUCCAGGGAAUUUGUUGUGGGGGAUAAGGUGUUUCUAAAGCUGCAACCAUAUGCUCAAACAUCAGUGGUUAACAGACCCUAUCCAAAGCUAGCAAUGAAAUUCUUUGGGCCGUUUGAAGUGCUGGAGAAAAUCGGACCAGCCGCCUACAAGCUCUUGCUUCCAGGGGGCAGUCAGGUGCACCCCGUGUUCCACACAUCUCAACUGAAGCCUCAUGUUCCAGAUCAUACACCAGUGUUCAACACUAUUCCAGAAUCGCCAUUACUUGACCGAGUCGAGCUCAUGCCGGUAGAAAUCCUUGACAGGCGUCUGGUGAAGAAAGGAAAUGCUUCGUUGGCUCAAGUUCUGAUUCGAUGGACAGAUUUGCCAGCUUCUUCAGCUACGUGGGAAGACUACGACACCGUGAAGCAACGUUUUCCAGUGGCACCAGCUUGGGGACAAGCUGCUUCUUCAGGCGGGGAUACUGUCAGCGCAAGUGAGCUGCCAGGAGGCUAA
rnacentral:rRNA from 1 species